rnacentral:rRNA from 1 species
AACGGAGGGUGCAAGCGUUGUUCGGAAUUACUGGGCGUAAAGCGCGUGCAGGUGGUUUUUAAGUUUCGUGUGAAAUCCCAUGGCUCAACCAUGGAACGGCACGGAAAACUGGAAGGCUUGAGUACGGGAGAAGAGGGCGGAAUUCCCAGUGUAGAGGUGAAAUUCGUAGAUAUUGGGAGGAACACCGGUGGCGAAAGCGGCUCUCUAGACCGAUACUGACGCUCAUACGCGAGAGCGUGGGUAGCAAACAGGAU